rnacentral:rRNA from 1 species
GGGUGCUCGAGUGGCGAACGGGUGAGUAACACGUGAGUAACCUGCCCUUGACUUUGGGAUAACUUCAGGAAACUGGGGCUAAUACCGGAUAGGAGCUCCUGCUGCAUGGUGGGGGUCGGAAAGUUUCGGCGGUUGGGGAUGGACUCGCGGCUUAUCAGCUUGUUGGUGGGGUAGUGGCUUACCAAGGCUUUGACGGGUAGCCGGCCUGAGAGGGUGACCGGCCACAUUGGGACUGAGAUACGGCCCAG